rnacentral:misc_RNA from 1 species
UCCCCAUUGAAUGAGGCAGUCUCCCGUGAAAUGCAACACAGGACAGGGGUUUCGUUCGUUUGCCCACUUAAGGGUACACUUCACAGCACGAACUGACGACGACCGUGCAUCAUCUGUCAUCUGGCUCCCGAAGGCACCCCCCUAUUUCUAGGGGGUUCCAGAGAUGUCAAGGCCUGGUAAGGUUCCUCGCUUAGCAUCGAAUUAAACCACAUGCUCCACCGCUUGUGCGAGCCCCCGUCAAUUCCUUUGAGUUUUAGUCUUGCGACCGUACUUCCCAGGCGGCAGACUUCACGCGUUAGCUUCGCUACACAGAGGGUCGAUACUCCGAAUAGCUAGUCUGCAUCGUUUACGGCGUGGACUAC